rnacentral:rRNA from 1 species
GCGUGCUUAACACAUGCAAGUCGAACGGUGAAGCAGAGCUUGCUCUGUGGAUCAGUGGCGAACGGGUGAGUAACACGUGAGCAACCUGCCCCUGACUCUGGGAUAAGCGCUGGAAACGGCGUCUAAUACUGGAUAUGAGCUGCGAUCGCAUGGUCAGCAGUUGGAAAGAUUUUUCGGUCUGGGAUGGGCUCACGGCCUAUCAGCUUGUUGGUGAGGUAAUGGCUCACCAAGGCGUCGACGGGUAGCCGGCCUGAGAGGGUGACCGGCCACACUGGGACUGAGACACGGCCCAGACUCCUACGGGAGGCAGCAGUGGGGAAUAUUGCACAAUGGGCGAAAGCCUGAUGCAGCAACGCCGCGUGAGGGAUGACGGCCUUCGGGUUGUAAACCUCUUUUAGCAGGGAAGAAGCGAAAGUGACGGUACCUGCAGAAAAAGCGCCGGCUAACUACGUGCCAGCAGCCGCGGUAAUACGUAGGGCGCAAGCGUUAUCCGGAAUUAUUGGGCGUAAAGAGCUCGUAGGCGGUUUGUCGCGUCUGCUGUGAAAUCCCGAGGCUCAACCUCGGGUCUGCAGUGGGUACGGGCAGACUAGAGUGCGGUAGGGGAGAUUGGAAUUCCUGGUGUAGCGGUGGAAUGCGCAGAUAUCAGGAGGAACACCGAUGGCGAAGGCAGAUCUCUGGGCCGUUACUGACGCUGAGGAGCGAAAGGGUGGGGAGCAAACAGGCUUAGAUACCCUGGUAGUCCACCCCGUAAACGUUGGGAACUAGUUGUGGGGUCCAUUCCACGGAUUCCGUGACGCAGCUAACGCAUUAAGUUCCCCGCCUGGGGAGUACGGCCGCAAGGCUAAAACUCAAAGGAAUUGACGGGGACCCGCACAAGCGGCGGAGCAUGCGGAUUAAUUCGAUGCAACGCG